rnacentral:rRNA from 1 species
CCUACGGGAGGCAGCAGUGGGGAAUAUUGCACAAUGGGCGCAAGCCUGAUGCAGCCAUGCCGCGUGUGUGAAGAAGGCCUUCGGGUUGUAAAGCACUUUCAGCGGGGAGGAAGGCGGUGAGGCUAAUAACCUCAUCGAUUGACGUUACCCGCAGAAGAAGCACCGGCUAACUCCGUGCCAGCAGCCGCGGUAAUACGGAGGGUGCAAGCGUUAAUCGGAAUUACUGGGCGUAAAGCGCACGCAGGCGGUCUGUCAAGUCGGAUGUGAAAUCCCCGGGCUCAACCUGGGAACUGCAUUCGAAACUGGCAGGCUAGAGUCUUGUAGAGGGGGGUAGAAUUCCAGGUGUAGCGGUGAAAUGCGUAGAGAUCUGGAGGAAUACCGGUGGCGAAGGCGGCCCCCUGGACAAAGACUGACGCUCAGGUGCGAAAGCGUGGGGAGCAAACAGGAUUAGAUACCCGAGUAGUC